rnacentral:lncRNA from 1 species
CUGGAUUCUGCUGAUUGCGGGAAAUAAUACCCACCAACUCCUCCUGCAACUCCAACUGAGACAAGCCUUGGGGAGAGAAUAGGAGGAGGAAGUGGAAAGGGGGGUGGGGGUGGCAGAGAAUGGAAAGUUAGAACAAGCGGUUGGACCAAACCCAACAAGGAGAAGACAGAGGAAAAGAAGACAUGAACAGAGACAGACUCUUAGAGGGGGGAAAGAGGUACUUCUAAAUCGAGCCAUGUCCUUAAGGAGAGCUCUUCCAUUCCCCCAAUUACACACAUACACCCGCAUACCAGAGGAGGCUGGUGGGAGGAGCUAUAGCACACACACACACACACACACACACACACACACACACACACACACACACACACACACACACACACACACACACACACACACACACACACACACACACACACACACACACACACACACACACACACACACACUUGUCCAGUGCUCUCAUCUUUUUGCCUCCCCAGCACCACCUUCAUCAAUCCUCCUCUCCCUCUGUCCUCUACUUCCCUCAUUUCCUCUCGUCCUGGUCUCCCUCUCCUCCUUGAUGGUCUUUCUCACACACCGUGACUAUCUAUCACAAACAGAGCUGCCACCGGAUUAAGAAAGAAGAAAGUUAGUGUAGGCAGCCAGCCCCUCCUGCUGGCCACAGCCAGAACAGACCCAGCCAUGGUGUCCUUCUUGAGAAACAGAGCAAGGGUAGUGUGUUAUUGAUUCAGUGAUUCAUUGUGGUGGAGGAAUUAAUCUAUGAUUACAGGACUAAUCAAAGUCAUCGGAUUAAUUUGUCUUGCUAAAGGUCGCUCCAUCUUUGUGAAUAAAAUACGGGUGACUCUGCUGAUUCAUUUGUGUUAAUAGGCGUGUUUACAUGUAAUACAUUCUGAGCUCUAUUGGACUCAAACAUAGGCAACUUCAGCUGAGCAACAUAGAAUGAGGUAUGUCAUGUUCUAAUUGAUCGAGAGUGCUUAACUGAAUGAGGCGUCAUACCUCAACAUGGUGAAUAUUGAUGCUGACGGUAAUGCUCUGAUUUCCAACGCUUUAACUGUGUUUAAUCUCAGAGGAGAUUCGUAUUGAUGUGAAGGCAAUGAUGCCUGACUGAAGGGUGCCAUGCCUCACUGUCUGCCUCUUCAACUGAGAAGGGGGUCUGAUCAGAACAAGGGGGGAGAGGAGAGAUGACACAGUGAUGAUGAAUAUCUGUUUGUUCCUGUUUCAUCAGUACCAAACACCAACCAAGAAUUUACGGUGCGUUCAAUUCAAGCACAAUUGGAGCCAUUUGACAUUGUGCUAUUUAAAUUAGAAUUACCUUUUAUCUUUAGAAUACGACACUUCAAGUUGGAUAUUGUUAGGGUUGAACUGGCUAUUUGUUUGCAUAACUUAUAUAAUAUACUGGGGAAGCUAUGCUACAAUAUUAAAUAUAUAAACUACGGAUAAGUCAACUGCUGAAGACAAGAACUACAAUCGGCGACAGGAAGUGCGUCACGAGGCUGGGACCAGCCUGCACGCCGACGAUAGGAGGAGCAAGUUUAAACCACGCUCCUCCUCCCUCUGACAGGCCAGCAUUGAGCGGGAACUUUCACUGUCAGAGUAUAAAAGAGAGAACAAUAGGAUGGGAUGCUCUCUUCUCUGUCUGCCCUGCGAGGUGUCACAGAGAGACCGUAUACGAACAACAUAUUUACCAUACACGUGUUUGCAUUAAUUAAAGUACAAAUAAAUCAGAAGUUACUAUGUGCUGACUAUUUUGUUCUGAUACCAGAAACGAAUUGACGCAACUUUAACAAUAUGGAAAUGAAUCAGUG